AAGGGUUACGAUGAGGUUAAAAAAGCUCCCUCUUCCGAUAGUCCAAGUUGAGGACAGACCGCUGGCAGAAUCGAACCUAUGACUUUAUAAUGCCACUACUGAGUAA